UACGUAGGUGGCAAGCGUUGUCCGGAAUUAUUGGGCGUAAAGCGCGCGCAGGCGGUUCUUUAAGUCUGAUGUGAAAGCCCACGGCUCAACCGUGGAGGGUCAUUGGAAACUGGAGAACUUGAGUACAGAAGAGGAAAGCGGAAUUCCACGUGGUAGCGGUGAAAUGCGUAGAGAUGUGGAGGAACACCAGUGGCGAAGGCGGCUUCUGGUCUGUAACUGACGCUGAGGCGCGAAAGCGUGGGGAGCAAACAGG
rnacentral:rRNA from 1 species